UUGAACGCUGGCGGCAGGCCUAACACAUGCAAGUCGAGCGGAUGAAGGGAGCUUGCUCCUGGAUUCAGCGGCGGACGGGUGAGUAAUGCCUAGGAAUCUGCCUGGUAGUGGGGGAUAACGUCCGGAAACGGGCGCUAAUACCGCAUACGUCCUGAGGGAGAAAGUGGUGGAUCUUCGGACCUCACGCUAUCAGAUGAGCCUAGGUCGGAUUAGCUAGUUGGUGGGGUAAAGGCCUACCAAGGCGACGAUCCGUAACUGGUCUGAGAGGAUGAUCAGUCACACUGGAAGUGAGACAAGGUCCAGACUCCUACGGGAGGCAGCAGUCGGGAAUAUUGGACAAUGGGCGAAAGCCUGAUCCAGCCAUGCCGCGCGUGUGAAGAAGGUAUUCGGAUUGUAAAGCCAUUUAAGUUGGGAGGAAGGGCAGUAAGUUAAUACCUUGCUGUUUUGACGUUCCCAACAGAAUAAGCACCGGCUAACUUCGUG
rnacentral:rRNA from 1 species